GGGAUGUCAUGACGUGGGGAACUUCGGUUACGUGGAUGCUGCCUGCCCUGCACAUCUGCAAGGCACAGGAGCCCUGGCCCUUUGAUCCUGGAAUCAAACAUGAUCGAAUGAACGGCUGCAUUAGUCAGAUGAACACCUGUGCAGCACUUUAAAAGUGAAAGGAGCUAAUCGUGGAUCAGGCUUGGUGCCUUUAAAUCUAGAAAGGCUCUUCUGCAGGAGCCCAUUUCCAUGGAAUAUGUACGAGAAUGGAGGAACCACAAUGUAAAGGGCCGUAUCCCUGCUAGAUCCAGGACAACAACAAGACACAUUGAUCCUAUUAAA